ACCUCCUGACCAUGGGCAAAGAACACUUCAUUGAUGGUGGUUUUCUUAUAUCAGGCAGGAACAAAACAAACGGAAGGCCUUUGUUCAACCUAGCUUGAUGAACUUGGUGGCCAAAGAUAUUUCAUGCCUAGAGCACAAUC